GUAGAGGCUGGAAAGUCAAGGAAACAUACUUUUUUCCCCUGGAACCUCCAGAAGGAGCCAAGGCUUCCAACAACUUCAUUUUAGUUUUUGAACCCCACUUGGGAGAACACUGCUCUAAAUAAUUACUAAGUGGGAUAAUAAGUGUAACAAGUGGAAUAUUAAAGUGGAGGAAUGGUAGAGGCAUUGCAGAUGGCAGCACAGACAGUAUAAACCACAAACUGGAGAUCACUGGCCAAGCGGACCCAGUCCGAACUUCUCAACAUGAAAUUUCUGGAAUAAUGCUCACCUAAGAUUAACAGCAGUCGUUUCCGGAAGCCAACCAUCAACAGCCAGGACUACUGCCUGCUGAAGCUCCCGAAGCUCAUGAUACAGGGAGAGCAGAAGGCUGGAAACAC